rnacentral:rRNA from 1 species
CACAUGCAGUCGAGCGGCAGCACGGGAGCUUGCUCCUGGUGGCGAGCGGCGGACGGGUGAGUAAUGCCUAGGAAUCUGCCUGUUAGUGGGGGAUAACUCGGGGAAACUCGAGCUAAUACCGCAUACGUCCUACGGGAGAAAGUGGGGGACCUUCGGGCCUCACGCUAACAGAUGAGCCUAGGUCGGAUUAGCUAGUUGGUGGGGUAAAGGCCUACCAAGGCGACGAUCCGUAGCUGGUCUGAGAGGAUGAUCAGCCACACUGGAACUGAGACACGGUCCAGACUCCUACGGGAGGCAGCAGUUGGGAAUAUUGGACAAUGGGCGCAAGCUGAUCCAGCCAUGCCGCGUGUGUGCAAGAAGGUCUUCGGAUUGUAAAGCACUUUAAGUUGGGAGGAAGGGCGCUURGCUAAUACCCAASRGUUUUGACGUUACCAACAGAAUAAGCACCGGCUAACUUCGUGCCARCAGCCGCGGUAAUACGAAGGGUGCSAGCCUUAAUCGGRAAUUACUGGGCGUAAAGCGCGCGUAGGCGGUUUGUUAAGUUGGAGGUGAAAUCCCCGGGCUCAACCUGGGAAGUGCCUCCAAAACUGGCUGACUAGAGUACGGUAGAGGGUGGUGGAAUUUCCUGUKUAGCGGUGAAAUGCGURGAUAUAGGKGGGACCACCARUUGCGAGGCG